ensembl:lncRNA
GUUUGGUGGCUGAGGAGCUGCCUGCAUACUGAACAGGGAGUGGGAAGAGGAGGAAUUCAGUCCCACACCUUCGCUUCAUCCACGCUUCUAUGUCAGAUGCCAUUCUGUCAGUGCCGCUCUGCUGCCAUCUGUCACACAGCGACAUGUGAUGGAACACUGGUGGGAAGGUUUAAUCUACUGCCACUCCACCGACAUUCACCUUUGUGGAAGCCCACCUCGUUGUGGGCUAAUAUAAUAAAGCAGGAGGCAUUACUUUCGGGACAUCCCUUGUAACAUAUACAAUAUCAUUAAUAUAAAGUAACAUUAUUAUUUAAUGUUUUUCUUACAGCAUUGUGGUAACUGCCGACUGUAUACUUCCACUCCCAUAUAUGCAGCAGAGGGAUCUUCAC